rnacentral:tRNA from 1 species
GGGUGGCUGAGUUUAAUAUAAGCAUUAGACUUUUAAUCUUAUUACGGUGCUUGAGGCACCUCC